AAUGGAGGAAACUCUGAUGCAGCGAUGCCGCGUGAGUGGAGAAGGCCUUUGGGUUGUAAAGCUCUUUCGUCGGGGAAGAAAAUGACUGUACCCGAAUAAGAAGGUCCGGCUAACUUCGUGCCAGCAGCCGCGGUAAUACGAAGGGACCUAGCGUAGUUCGGAAUUACUGGGCUUAAAGAGUUCGUAGGUGGUUGAAAAAGUUGGUGGUGAAAUCCCAGAGCUUAACUCUGGAACUGCCAUCAAAACUUUUCAGCUAGAGUAUGAUAGAGGAAAGCAGAAUUUCUAGUGUAGAGGUGAAAUUCGUAGAUAUUAGAAAGAAUACCAAUUGCGAAGGCAGCUUUCUGGAUCAUUACUGACACUGAGGAACGAAAGCAUGGGUAGCGAAGAGGAUU
rnacentral:rRNA from 1 species